AUUGAACGCUGGCGGCAGGCUUAACACAUGCAAGUCGAGCGGGGUGAUGGUGCUUGCACUAUCACUUAGCGGCGGACGGGUGAGUAAUGCUUAGGAAUCUGCCUAUUAGUGGGGGACAACGUCUCGAAAGGGAUGCUAAUACCGCAUACGUCCUACGGGAGAAAGCAGGGGAUCACUUGUGACCUUGCGCUAAUAGAUGAGCCUAAGUCGGAUUAGCUAGUUGGUGGGGUAAAGGCCUACCAAGGCGACGAUCUGUAGCGGGUCUGAGAGGAUGAGCCGCCACACUGGGAAUGAGACACGGCCCAGACUCCUACGGGAGGCAGCAGUGGGGAAUAUUGGACAAUGGGGGGAACCCUGAUCCAGCCAUGCCGCGUGUGUGAAGAAGGCCUUAUGGUUGUAAAGCACUUUAAGCGAGGAGGAGGCUCUUUUGGUUAAUACCCAAGAUGAGUGGACGUUACUCGCAGAAUAAGCACCGGCUAACUCUGUGCCAGCCGCCGCGGUAA
rnacentral:rRNA from 1 species